UUAAAGACAAAUGUCUGCCUAUUACCCUGCCCAUAUUGCAAAAUUAAUUACUUCCAUCUGCUACGGCCUUCCUUCGAAGUACCUCAAUAUUCUUCUGGAGGCAGUGUUUAUCUGCCUUCUACAGGUUAUGCUUCCAGGGGAAUUCACUUCAAACCAAUCCAUUUGAUCCUGCUCGCGGCAUUUCCUUCAGAUCUAUGAUUCGGACCAAAAAUUCUUCACACUCUCCUCAAGCACUCAAAAACCGAUGUGCAAGGUUCUGGUGUCACCUUAACAAUUCUAAAAUCAAUAAUCCUGUCCCUUCUCUGCAUGGUGAAAUUUCUUAAAAAUCCGACCUAGAAUUUCUAAAACGCACCAGCUCUAUUUUUUCUAACGGAGCCCCCUUUCCAAGGCUGUUUAGAACUCGCUUAACCACUGUUCUCAAAGCUGCAGUCUAUCUACUGGCCAUUCAUUCAGAAUUGGGGCAGCUACUUCAGCAGCUGAAUGAGCGAUCUCUACAUCAGCUGUUAAGAUCAUGGGCAGAUGGUCUUCCUAAGCAUUUGAAUCAUACAUCAGACCUGAUUCAAAACCAUUAUUGAAGCUCAGCAAGCUCUCCUGUAACUAAUCAGGAACCUUAGGAUUCACAACUGGUGGGUAUACUUCAUCUACUUUUUUGGCGGGGAAGGCUGGCCCCGUCUGGAGGUCUCAUAAUCCACCUAAUUUUGGGGGUCUGCUGCGCCCCUGCCUUCGUCUUCAGGCAGGAAAUGCAGAUUCGCUACCCUCGGAUUACGAACCAUGGACGGGGCCUUCCGCCAAAGAAAUUUAUAAUUGUGCUCGCUGAGCUGUCAAUAAAUGUAUGCUUCGUACAUUCCUCUA